rnacentral:lncRNA from 1 species
CUUCUAUGGAGAUCGGACUCCGAUCGAACUUCGGCCGACAGGCUUGGAUCCCCAAGCAGGCCACAAUAACGGCCACGACUCUGCUCCACUUCCUGCAACAGAUUCUGCACGGUUCCAUCACUCCCUGGCAAACCAUAAUAAUGACCACAAUCCUGCUUCACUUCCUGCGAUGGAUACCGCACGGUUCCUCCACCCUCUAGCAAGUCGCGACAACGGAUGCUGCUCCACUCCCCACAACAGACUCCACGUGGCAUGUCCCGGUGAUGCCCACGAUUCCACUC